rnacentral:tRNA from 1 species
GGAUCUGUAGCUCAGUUGGUAGAGCAAAGGACUCUUAAUCCUCUGGUCAUGGGUUCGAAUCCCAUCGGGUCCACCA